ACCUAAAUAAAUAAAUAAAUAAAUAAAUAAAUAAAUAAAUAAAUAAAUAAAUAAACUACUGGCUGCAAUUUUUGUAGGUAGGAGAGCAUUGGACAUGCAGGGAUAAUAACACACAUUUACAGAGCUCUGACUGUGUGCUAGGCACCUGUGUGAAAUAUUCUCAUUUUAGGGGACUGGAGAGUUGGCUCAGUGGUCAAGAACAGUGGCUGCUCAUGCAGAGGACAGGAUUGCAUCCCAGGCACCCAUAAGGUGGCUCACAGCCAUCUCUAGUUUCAGUGCUCUUCUGGCCUGCAGUGCGCACACACACUCACACACACACACACACACACACACAGCCAUCUCUAGUUUCAGUGCUCUUCUGGCCCGUGGUACACACACACACACACACACACACACACAGGCUUGACUUGGGUGCGAGAUUCAGGCAAGCUGUGCGUGAGGGAGGGAGAGGUAGGACAGGUACAUCUUCAUGGAUUGUGAGUCUUGGUUGAAGAAAACAGAACUUGUGUACACUGAGGCAGGCAGGGGAAGGGUUGCGGGGUGCCACCCAACUCCCCUGAAACUAAUCUCAGUUAAUGCAAUGUUUAUCAAAUUCCUUGGGUAAUGAUACUGUGAGUGUCAUUAUCAUCACCAAAACCCAGUCUAGGUUUAAAAAAAAGUUACAGAUGAUUAACACAACUUCAAGUUGAUGUUGCACACACAUACACUCUCUCUCUCUCUCUCUCUCUCUCUCUCUCUCUCUCUCUCUCUCACACACACACACAACCACACAUACACACUCUCACAGGCAAAACCCCACUCUGCAACACAAAAUUUCAAAGAUUCUCCUUUAAUCCUUCUAUUGGCAUGUUGUAGAGUUAAAAUUCUUUGUUCAAGGCCGGGGAUGUAACCCAGGGGUAUUGUGUCUAUUUGACACGUACAAGGCCCGAGUUUUAAAAUUACUUGUCUAAUCAAAGCCAGUGUACUUAGCAAUGAGUCCAUGUCCUUCACCACGAUGUUUCCCAAUGAGCCAGAGCCCCAGCCCGAGGCCAAGCCAUAAAGGUGGCAGGGUAGAGCAUGGCAUGCUGUGUCUAGGCAACGCUCAGUGCUGUGUGGGCAUUGUGGUACCAUGGAAGAACGUGGGUUGGCAGGAUCAGAUUUUUGGUUCAGAAAGGCAGCUUUCAUGAUUUAAUAGACAAUGAUGUAGGCAGGUGUGUGUGUGGGGGGAUGCUGGUAUUCACAACGGGAGGAAGGAUAGAUUUGAAGAUCUUCUCCUUGGCAGGAGCUGGUGAGUUAGGACGGGCGAUGGGAAAGGACAAGGGGAAGCAGAAGCCAUGGAAACUGCAUUAGAGGAGAGCAGACGUUUGCUCCACCCAAGCCCCAACUCCACUUCCCACCGUCAACCCUGUGUUGAUUCCACAGGAAAGAGGUUGGCUCUUGACAGCUUUGUGUCUAGAAUAGCGCAAUAGCCUUCUCGAUAGUAUGACGGGCUAGAGACGCUAGCCGGGGACCAUACAUUCCAACUCCGCACCCUCCUCAUCUCUUACCUCUAGUUCGGCAGCCUUGCCUUGCAGAAGAAACAAGAUUGCAGAAUAAGAGUGUAAAGAGUCUUGAGCUUCCGUAGCCUACAUUGUGGGACUACGGAAACAUCAAGGUUCAGAUCUCCAUCAUUAAAAAGUCAUGUUGAGGUAGGAACAAGGAAGGAAACCCAGAGUCCAUGAACUGUGGUCUCCUUCCGGGUGGGUCUGGAGGAGUGGGGGGGGGCACAGCUGCAACUCUGUCAGCUUGGGUGGCUCAAGGCAGAGAUCUUCCACACCCUCGUCUCACGUAGACUCCAGAAUUCCCUAAGUAACAGAAGGGGCACCAAUCUUCAAGUGUUUCCGCAGGAAUCAGGAAAGUGACUUCCUAGACAUCCAAUGGGUUCAUGCCAUGGUUUGCAAAUGUUUCCUCUGUCCCCAGUUUGCACGGUUGAAAUCCUAGCAAGAAGUGUGGUCUUUGGGAAGGAAUUGGAACCUGAGGGUGGUUUCGUGCCCAUUGUAGGAAGACGGGGAGAGGUUACCUGACCCUUCUGCUGUGUCCUGGCACAGGAAGGAAGCACUGUUUCUGAGGAAGGGGACCUACCUGAACUUUACUCUUGGAUGUCUUGCAGCUGGAGAUUCUCUUGUCCCACCUACGUACUGCUGCCACGGAGAAUGCCAGUGUCUUUUCAGGACUUCUGAAAGCACAGCAAGUGCCCUUAAGUGCUCGGAACUAACUUCUUUCAUUGUCAAUGAUAUUCAUUCGUCUCAGGCCAGAGAGACAACGGUUUGGAGGGCAAAGGUGCUUGCUACUGAGCGGAUGACGUGAGUUAGACACGGGGACCCACGUGGUACAAGGAGGGAAUCAACUCCACAUCAUCCUCCAACAUCUACCAGAGCACCAUGGCACGUGUCUGUCACAGACAGUAAAUAAACAUACGUAAUAAUAAUAAUAAUAAACUAUACUCAUCUCUUAGAACAAAAGGGAAACCUGAAUGAACAGAAAGAGAAUCGAGGCUCUAAUUUUGGGCUCUUUGAUGGUUUUGAGGGAAGAGGGCAGAACAUCAAAUGCCCACAGUGGAAGACAAUGGGCAAUGGCCAGGACGGAAGCAGAAAUUAAGACAAGUUAGAGAGGUUAUCAAUGCAUGAAGUAAUGAAAGGAAAAUGCUUGGUGGGAUAGAGGAAGACACAAAAAUUCUAUUCACCGCAUACAAAAACCAACCUGGGGGGAAAAAUUAGAAGAAAAAUACAAUAAAAUAAUACUGCUUGAGUUGGGUUCUUCUUUUUUUGGCCUCUCUUCUCUAAUUGUCGUUUUCAUUUUUAUUUUUAAAAUAUGGAACUGGGAAAGAACAGAAAUACCAAAGGAUCAGACAAAAUUAGAAGAAGAGGGCUUAUGGAGGAGGAGGAAGACCGCGGUGGCGACGAACAAAGACAGCCAGUAGAUGAAAGACGGCGAGGGAGCGGGGAGAGCGUUCAGUCCAGCCUGGAGGAGAUCAUUACUGGCUCAAGUGCUGGGAAGUGGACAAAAGCCCGUGUGCAGUGGGGUCAGAUGAGAGGCCCAGGAAGAAUCCAUGUUUCAGCACCUACGAUCACAAUAAUUCACUCACGGGUUCCCCAGACACUAUUACUUUAGUUCUGGUCUUAGCGUGUUGGGAUUCUGCCUACAUUAGUUUUUUUUUUUCUUUUUGGCCGAUAAAUGAAAAUCAAAAAAAAAAUCCCAUGUGCAAGUUUCUUUGCCCUUAUUUUUUUGAACUGAAAAAUAAAGAAACGAUAAAUUCUCUCUCCGAGCCGACCUACUCGCUGGGAAUGCCACCGUGUAGAAAUCUUAAUAAUACAUUCGGUGCACGCCGAUUAAAAACAGAAGGACUUGGUUGGCCAAGGUCACGUCAGCUGCCUUUGCCUCUCAGUGAUUUUUGUGUAUAUUUUAUCCAUGAAAGACAAAUUACUAUGAAAGGCUGGCAAUAUAGGCUUAAGAAAGGCAGAGAACAAAGUGUGUUCCUUGCUCUUUGAAUUUCUUAAAAUUAAGUUCUUACGACCCCUGCUGCUCACCUUCAAACAAGCCGCCGUGAAAAGUCCUCUGUGAAACCGAGAGAAAGGAUGAACCAAAGAGUUUCACUUAUUUAAAAAAAAAAUAAAGAAGAAGAAGAAGAAGCUGUCCACAGGAGAGAGAACAUUCAAGUCUCCCAGUAGCCAUACUUAUUAGCUAAAUUGAAUGCCUGUGGUGGGUCUCAUGGGGGCACAUGGCACCAGGCUCUUUGUAUUACAACUCAGCCGGAGCCUUCAUUCCCUUGUAAUUAAGGGCAAGGGGCCAGCCAGUGAUGUGAUGGGAAGCAAUUAUGAGGAUGAGGCCUCACCAUCAACACUUUUCAAGAGUUUGUGUGCCUGCACUUGUGUUUGUCUGAGUCUCCUAUGGAACCCCUGGCUUGUCCCUGGAGCUGUGGGUUCAUCCUCCAACUGUAACCAUGCUUAAUACUUACGAAGAACCUACUGUGUGGGCAGUAUUGCUCCAAGUUUUGUAGAUGUGUGGCCAUGAUCCAUCUUCUCAAACUCUUCCACAGUUAAAGGUUCAGUCCCAGGUACCCCGAAGCAGACUCUGAGCUGUGGUGGACCCAGGACAGACCAGGGGUGCCGUAGCGAGGGGGGGGCGCAGCUGAUCUAGAAUAUAUUUCAAGCCAAGUCCUUUAGGCGACAGCUUUGCCCUGGUCUUGUUGGAAAGAGGGUUUGGCUUCCACUGAACUGCACAGCAUGUGAUGGGCAGCUGCAAGGAAGGUGUUUGCUUGUGACCUGUGAGAGGAGAGAGACAUGAAUGAGGGACGGGAAUGCCCCACACAGUCUCCCACAAGGAAGGUGUUCGCUCGUGACCUGUGAGAGGAGAGAGACGUGCACAUGAAUGAGGGACGGGAAUGCCCCACAUAGUCUCCCACAAGGGUGGAGCUGUUGGUACCUCUGCCCCACCCUACAGGCAUGUCUGGUCAAAGUGGCUCACCUCUGAGUCUAAGCUGCCUUUCCUGUCCCUUCUGAGCCUCCAGUGGUUGUCAUUUAUCAAGAAGAGAUGAGGCAGAAACGCUGCGCUCCCCAAACCAGAAACCUGAGCUACCACAGAGCCUGUACGCUUGGGGGAGGUGUGAAGCUGCCUGGCGCGUCUCCCACUCUCACUCAGCCGUUCGAUGGAAAUGGCUGCUUACAACCAUAAAGAAAGCUAGCACUCACAGAGUACCCGCCACAUACCAGGUACUCCUCUAUGCAUCACACGUGUCAAUCUGUUUGCUCAACCGCUCUGUGAGGGGUGAAGGAGAGCCAGGGAGCAGCCAGGCGUUUCUCACAGCUCGUGAGCUGUACAGGUUGACUCGCACUCACAUAGGUCCGUCUGGCUGCGCAGGCCAGCCUUAGAGUCAUGUCAUGGUGCUGCCUCCUUAUAGGCGUGAAGUAAUGCAUUGAAACUCUAAUUUCUUAGAAGACAUUUUCCAAAAACAAUCUUUAAUUUGGUGAUGAGGAAAUUGGCGCAGCUACUUACAAUAUGUCAGUGAUAUUAUAGACAAGGAGGAGAAGAAGAGAAGGAGAAAGAGAAGAGAGAGGAAGACAGCGUUUAUACAGAAUAUGCUCCACUGUCCACAGUUACAGUCUCUAGAUGCAAAGAAAAAAAAAGACUUGGGAAUUUGAGGAAAUUGCUCAGGAAUUAUAUACUUGCUAAUAUGAAUACCCACUUCCUUAAAUGUGGUCUUUUAUUUGUGGUUGUGCAGAAGAAUGUGUUUAUUCUCAAUUUGCCACUCAGCAAAGUGUUUCAGUGUAAAGCUAUGAUGGUGUUCCUGAAUUAUUAUUAAGCCGUCUAAGAGCAAUGUCAAUGACUGUCCUGGUGUGUUCCUUACAUGUAAGUCUGUAUGUCCAAGCUUUACGUACCCUGUGAGUCCCCAGGUGUGUGCUGGAAUUGAACCCCUACAAAAUAACCGAGCCAUCUCCUCCGGCUGAAAAAAACAUCUUUUGGAAAAGGGACAGUAAAUGAGAAACAAUCUCUCAAAGUUGUUCCCUGACCUCCACACGCCUGUCAUAACAAGGAUAGGCCCAUACAUACACAAUAAAAGGAGAAAGGAAGGGUUUCGAAGGAAAAGUAGAAAAACCAAUCAAGUCCAAAUUGAGGUUUGGACUCUACUGGUCUAAAGAGGAUCCCCAGGUGUGGUUGUUUAAAGAAAAUGGCCUCUAAAGCACUGUUAGGAGGUGUGGCUUUGCUGGAGUGGGUGUAGCCUUGUUGGAGGAAGUGUGUCACUGUGGAGGCGGGCUUUGAGGUCUCACACAUGGUCAAGCUGUGCCCAGUGAUUCGGACCACUUCCUGUUUCCUGUGGGACAAGAUGUAAGGACUCUCAGCGCCUACUCCAGCACCUUGUCUGCCUACCUGCCAUCGUGCUUCCUGCCAUGAUGACAAUGGACUAAACCUCUGAACUGUAAGGGACUAAAUGUUUUCCUUAUAAGAGUUGCUGUGGUCAUAGUAUCUCUUCAUGGAAACGGAAACCCUGACUAAGACACCAGGGUGGGCUUUGUUCAAUGUGAUUUCCUGGUACUGACCAGGUACCAAGGAUAUUGAGGCAGAAGGAUGCAGAAAGCUCAGAGGGCUGGUGUGGCGUGGCAUGAAACAGGGAGAAGAGGACAAACUCACAGAGGUUUCUAGGUGAGUUUUGGUUUGCAUACGGGCUGGAAAGAUGACUCGGUGGUUAAGAGCACUGAUUGCUCCUGUAGAGGACCACCACGGCCUUGAGAGCUGGGUCUUGGAAACCUGACUGGGCAUUGAUAGGAGAUUAAGACAGGCACCAGAACACAAAGCUGGCAUGGAAACACACCAGCAGCAAGAGUCUCAGUGUGUUUAUUUUAUACAGCAUGAACAAGGAAUUGGGUUAGCUAAUUUAGGUAGGGGGUCUUUAUAGGGAAGUCUGGGGUUGGGGGGCUGUAAUCAUGCAGCUAUCUGGGACACUCUGCAUGUUCUGUUUUAAUGAUCAACUGUGUCAACAUCCAUACUCCGACUUGGGAAAGCCCUUCCAUUCGCAUGAGUCUGAUGCCUUGGUAUCCUCGACAUGGCCAUGUUCAUGUCAACAAUCCACAUUAAUUCAGGGAUUCAUGUCCUCUCCACAGAGGACCCAGGUUUGGUUCCCAACACCCACAUGGUGACUCAUAACUGCCUGUAAUUCUAGUUGCAGGAGAUCCAACCCUCUAUGGAAGUGAUUCUCAACCUUCCUAAUGGUGCAACCCUUUAAUACAGUUCCUCAUGUGUGGUGAUGGCCAACCAUAAAACUAUUUCGUUGUUGCUUCAUAACUGUAAUUUUGCUGCUAUUAUGAGUCAUAAUGUAAAUAUCUGAGAUGCAGGAUAUGUGACCCCCCAAAGGGGUCAAGGCCUGCAGGUUGACGGGCACCUGAAUUACAAGUGGUGCUCACAAAUUCACAGAGCUGCAAGUGUGCAAUGGAUAUCGUAAAAGGGGUAAAUGUGGGAACAGAGUCUCCCAUUUGUGAUGGCUGCAACAAUCCAGGCAGGAGGUGACAACGAUACUGCCAUGGCUGUGUGUGCUUUGAUGGCAUGCCCAACAGAAGAUUGAGAGCUGAAUCCAGCCUGGCUCCACAUUUUGUCCUGAAUACCUAGAAAGUUGGAGUUGACACCCAUUGAGAAUAGAAUGAAUCUGAGGGAGGUGAAACAGAGCUUGCCCUUGAACAAACAUAGCUGUCUCUGGCCAUCCAGAGACAGUCAUCAUGAAGGUGGUUGGAAAGCGAGGUCCCUAGCCUCUAGUAGAAGCCAUGACCUCAGGUAGGAUGGCCAAGACAGUGGAUGUGGAUGGUGGAGAGGAGACCAUGAAGGCCUGCACUAGGCACAUGUUUUCCUGUGUUCUCAUUCAUGCCGUUUUCAUUUUGUGUAGGAAAUCAUUACCCUGUCUAAAAUAGAAAAUUGACGGUUAUCUAAAGUGCUCUAGAUAGCCAGCCAAUCAAAUAACUACAUUUGGAGGAUAUGCUAAUUUUCCUCAAUGAUCUGGUCUGCUUUUCUACAAAUGUCUGCAUUAUUCGAUACUGGGAUGGCUACAUUUUGAGUUGCGUCAUUAUUCUGCUAUUAAUCAGUAAUGUAUUAAUCUUUUGUUUUGCAAAGUGCAAGAAUGCAGUUAAGGGGCUCUACAGGGAGCAGUCCUUGUCUAUGUUGGCUUUCUGAAAUAAAAAUCAACUUUGUUGUUGGAA